UCGCAUGUGUGAACGUUUGCUGCAGCCAAGUAAAGUCCAUUGUUCCUGCUCUUCCUCUCAUGUUCUUCUCUAAACCGCUUUCCUAGUAGUCAAUGUAGAUGCGCUGUAAUAAUCAUCUUCUCUCAACAGGGAUGCUGAGAAGCUCUAGUACAUAAGAAUUUCAUCUCUUUGACACCCAGUGGCACUUUAAAGCAUUAAAGCUUAAUGAAAUGACAACAUAUUAAGAAAUCUUUGCAUUCAAGUGCAAGAUAUGAAGGCUCUGUGUGUGGUGGAAUUCACAACCAGUCUGUGUGUUACCCAAACGCUACACCUGCCUUUGAAUGACAAGAGAGCCAGCCUGGGUUGUGUGGUAAUCUGUUGGAGGGGAGAGGGGUCAUGCUAUUGAAAUGCUAAUCAGACAGUGAGUGUUUGGACUGCUUGUGUGUGUUUGGACUGUGUGUUGAUGCGUUUUUGGCGGUGCGUGUGUGUGUUCAUGUCUGCCUUCGUCUACUGAACAACCACUGGUGACCCCAUUGUUUCUGUUUUCCGUUUACUCUGUUUCUUAAAUGCCAGACUGGUGAAAAAAGCUGUUUGUGGUGAUAGAAACGCCUCUAUUUUGCACCUCAAAUGAGACUAAUGGUGAAUAAAAACUAGCAGACUGAUUGUUGUUGUAAGUGGACAUGCUUGUAAACUUAAACAGUUAAUUCUGUGUCUCCUGGGAGCAGGGCUAAUGGUGUGCGCUGGCAGUUGUAGUGGAGUUGGGGGUUGUCGCAGGGGAGGGACCAUGGAGUUUUGAAUACGGCUGAUAGUUAGAAGGGGCUAUGGGAACAUGAAAGGGGAGGUUGAGUGUGCUGGUUUGGGAAGCCUCUCUGAUGGUUAAUGACCACCUGCUGGUAGUGCCACAUCCAUAUUGUGUUUGUAUGAAUGUGUGUGUAUCUUAAUGUUGCAGUAACGUUAUUCUUCUGGCAAUGGACAAUUUAGAAAGGGCAAGGAACAAUAGGGAUAGACGUCCAUUAAAAUUCCUUCCCUGGUGCUUGCCUUUACUCUUGUGAUUUAUUUUGCCACAGAGGCUAAAUACAAGGCCCUGUUCCCUCACUAUGGAAGACAUUUAGUCAUAAGCCAUAAACACGGCAUAUGGGUGGUUGAAAUAACAUUGUUUAAAUUAAGCAUAAAUGUAUCAUAUAAUGCAUUAGUAUAUUGGAUGACAGUACCUGCCCUGUCUAGGAUUUUAAUAAUUGUCAGUAAUAUUAUUACAAAUUAAAAUAGCUGUUUUCUAAUUGAAUAUAUUUUAAAAUGUAAUUUAUUUCUAUGGUGGCAAAGCUGAAUUUCAUUACUCCAGUCUUCAGUGUCACAUGAUCCUGCAGAAAUCAGUCUAAGGGGGCUUUCACACUGGAAGUUUAGUGCGGAACGGGGCACAGUUCGCAUGAAAAAUCGCUAAUGUGAACGCUGUCAUCGGACCCUGGUGCGCACUGGGGUACCGAACCCAAGACUACUUGGAGAAGGUGGUCUGAGUUAGGUUGCUCCUGAACUGUGGUGCGGUUCGCGUAAAUGUGCAAGCAACACGGACUCGGGUGCGCACUUGUUCAGGAAGUAAAUUAUCCCGCGCAUGCGUAACACUGUCAAUAUCAUUGUUUCCUCAACACACGAGACCCGAGGUAGAUUUUACACACUCCUAAACGUCAAAAUUAAAAUCAAAUAAUGAAAAUAAUUAAAAGUAAUUAUUAUACUGUGCAUAACAGCACCAAAAUAACAAAAAAAUUACAAAUAUGUUUAGUCGCGUUGUGUUUUAUUAGUUAAACGAAUGCAAAUCUUCCACCAAGAAAAACUGUUCCUAGCAAGAGUACAGCGCCAAAUUCAGUUACCCGGAGGAGUCUGUGUUAUCAGCUUUCACCGGUUGUUAUCGAGGGAUACAUACCUCUGAAUGUCGGGACUGACCAAUCAGAAUCAAGUAAAGGUAGUUUUAGAUUGUAGAACUUUUCUUCUAACUUUUGCGUGCUUUAAUGUCAUCCACCCUUAGUCAGUACAAGCUGAUCCUGUAUACAAAGGUACUGUUCUUAAGUCAAUCCAGUUCUCUUGUCUUCUGCAUUAAAGAUUAGUCAGCUGGUCUGACAGCUUGAGAUAUCGAUCCGUUAUGAAAUGCUGUAUCAGGCUUGGUUAUUAUUGCAUGGGGGGCAGAGAAUCUGUGCAUGACUAAGGCCACUAUAUGCACCACCAUAACUCAUGGAUGUUAUAAUGGAAAGCCCAGCAAAAGGUAUAAUUCAGUGUUAUAGUUGGGACAAAAGGUUGACUGCAGUUUGGACACUCUGAAACCCAAUAAUGUGGUGCAUCCAGACUAUUGCUCUUGAGAUCUCUGCCAAGGGAGAGGGGUGGAUGAAUACUUUGUUACUGACCCUUUAAAGUCAGUGGUACACUUUUAUGAUUGAGCCCAGAUCUUAGAUCAACUUAACUAAGAACCAUAUUUCCACUCGUCUUGACAUGUCUUGCUUUCAAAGGGACGCCUACACAUGCUGUGGUAUAAUACGGUAAUUUGCUUAGCCAAGAGCCCCUGCGGUACUGAUUGUGUAACUGCAGCUCUAGUUGGCCUUUCUGUGCGUUUGUUUGGUUACCAUUUUCAAGGUUAAUAAAGAGUUGAAAGGUGUUUUGCAUUGCAUUGACACUGUCCAGAGAAGGGCCACCGACAGUUUUAGAGCCCCGAGAGCUGGAUUAUGACUCAUGGCUCCUGGUAAAUCCACACUGUCUUUUGUCUGCUGACUCUGUAGGCAGCGAGAUGGCUAGCUAUCCAGCUGCAUUUCCACUGAGAUCUCAAACAAAACCAGCCAAGCGCACCUGAUACAGAAAAUGAGCAGCCAGCUUGAAUGUCCCCCGCAAUGUUUCUGUUGUCACUAGUGUGUUAUACUAUAUAUAACGGUGUUAUACUUUAGUGGACUAAAGUGUUUGAUCUUAGCUAUAGCAGGUUAACAGGUUCAAUAGGGUCAUUAGCCAAAACUAGCAUUUAGCAAAAACAUUAAUGUUAAAGUUAAGGCCAUUUCAAAAUAUAGUGUUUAAACUCUAUCUCGUACAUAUAGUUUUGAGGUAGAUGCUAAAUAGAUUUGAGAUGUAGGGUGGUCCAAAAUCUUUGUUUGGAUUGGUUUGUUACAUGAAAAAUCUCCAAAAAGAGCAGCUAGGACUGUGUGUGUCAGGGAUUGCUGUUGUCAUGAGAAAUUUGAGAGGUUUUUCUGUCAUGUUUAUGUGCACACUUGACAUUUCUUGUGAGCCGCACUUGAAAAGGCUGUGAACAUGAUGGUGCUUUGGGUGCUAGCCAGAAUUGAAUGUUGUGUUUGUUUGUGUGGGUUGCUCUCAUCUUAAAUGUCAGAUCUGUAAAGAAGUGCUGUUCUUCUACAGAUUUUUUGAGAAAAAUCAAACCACAUCUAAACAUUAGUAAAAAAAAGAAAAAAAUACUUGCUCUGCUUUCACAGAGGGAAAUCGAAUAAUGGAGGAGCAUUCCUAAAUCACUCAUCUCCUCCUGGACUUCACAGACAAAACUUCUCUAUUAUUUAUAGAUCAGAGAGCUUUGGGACAUGUUGUACAUUUGAAUGUUUUCAGGCAUGCUCUGAGACAAAGAAAUAGUGUUACAUCAAAUACGUUUAAUCCACUACCAUUCAAAAAUUUGGGGUUCGAGAUUAGAUUUAUUUAAUCAAGAAUACAGAAAGCAUUUUUUAUUGUGAAUAUAUUAUUACAACUUAAAACAACAGAUUUUUAUUUGAAUAUAUUUUAAAGUGUAAUUUAUUUCUGUGACGAUAAAGCAGAAUUUUCAGCAGCCAUUGUUCCAGUCUUCAGCGUUAAAAUGAUCCUUCAUUCAAUCAUUCUGAUAUGCUCAUUUUCUGCUCAAGAAACAUUUCUUAUUUUUAUAAAUGGUGAAAGCAUUUUUGUGGAAACUGAUACUUUUUUCAGAUUUCUACGAUGAAAGGAAAGUUCAAGAGAACUGUGUUGAUUUGAAGUAGAAAUCUUUUGUAGCAUUGUCUUUUCUUCGACUUUUAAUAUUUGUAAUUCAUCCUUGCUGAAUAAAAGUAAUUAUUUCUUUAAAAAAUAAACUUUUGAAUAGUAAUGUGCUUUCUGACCACUUCAUUUAAUCCACUCGCUUGAUGAGAGAACUUUCUUUAUUGGACUGUCCCUUUAAGCCAAGUAAUAAAAGGUUAUUGCUGUUGUCCAAUAAUGACACAUAAAAGUGUGCUUGAUUACACAAUAACCAUUGACAGAUUCCCACUUAUACAGCAGCCGUGAUUGGGCAUCACUAUGUGUUUGAAUCAAUACCUGGCUGCAUAUUCAGAGCAGAGUCACUGGCUUUUUAAUAAUAAGCCCACUGUAAGCAAUGUGGACACAUUGGUGGGUGUAUUUUAGCUCUUAACAUCCCAGAUAUUGGAUUUUAGCUGUGUUUAAGCUACGAUGCAACUUAGUCUGUACUCAGCAAUAAUGCAGGAAACACUGGAGGCAUGGGGGAUCAGCAGUACUGCAGCAUGACUGUAUCUGUCCGUCAUGUUAACCUUAAACAUCAGUAAAGAGCUAAGUCUGCAAACUGGCCCUGCUAUGAUUUUCAACAGUAAAUCGAAACAUCAUCUGUAAUUAUUAGUCAUACUCAAUUUUAAAACAACUGCAUUAAAGUGAAGCUUCCCUUCAAUUGUAUUUAUUUCAAAGAAAAUGUGUAUUUAUAAUAUAUAUAAUUCACAAAUCAUGCUUACUGUAAGUUAAUCAGUCACAUAAAAUCAAAUCACUUCACUGUCACUACACCAUGGACACAGAGUAAUGGUGAGUGAAAAGAUAAUAGCAAUUUCUUAUCCGCUUUCAUCAGUGAAAUACAUAUGAGUAAAUGUGAUAUAUGGAGUUUUUGGUUUAUAAUAUGAUGUGGAGUAUUUUGUGUAUUCAUGCAUGCCUAACAUUUAAAUCAGUCUGUCAGUAGUACAGUGUUAAUAAUGAAUGUUAAGUCUAGACAUUCCAGACAGUUCUGUCGAAGUGGGUGGGGGAGAUUCAGGUCGGGAUGGACCAAAAGUGGUCUUAGUUUCCAGCUAAUUUAUCUGGGGUCUCACUGCAGGAGACCCCUGCAACCCAUCUUACAUUACUGCAGUCAGAGUGUAUCUGAUAGGGCUGCAUUCAUCAGUCGCUGCUCUGCAGGGGGGACCUCUGUCAAAGCUUUACAUUAGCAGUGUACAGAUAUAUCAGUCAUCAGUAAUCUGCUCUUAUCUCCAAAGAUGCAGACAUGUGGGAAGAAUCAAAGUUUUACUCAGAUUUGCGACUAGACCUGUGAUGUUUAAUCCUGCGGCCGGCCUUUACAUUUCCUUUCCGUCCCAGAUCAGACCAGAAUAUAUUUUUCUUUUUUUAGGCUUUACCUCUAGCCAUUUUUAAUAAAUGCACAAGAUUAGUUUAAACACACUGCAGAUUUUAGUAAUCAGGAUAAGUUGUAAAUAAAGAUUAUUGGAGUAUGUUGGACAAGAAAAUACCCUUAGUCAUUUUAGUUCAACAUGUUGUGCUUAAUUCUGAGUCACUGCUUUGUAAAAGUUACUAGCAAUUUCUGUGAGAUUCCUGCUCCAGUUUUUUAUUUUUUAGUGUAUGUCUCCUUUCCUAAAUCUACCAUGUGGUGCGAGCGGAGAAGUGAGCAAAAAAAAUUACAUGUGACCUACAAAGGAAGGGGAGGGGCUCGCUGAGGUGUGAAUGUGAGAGGGGUCACUACACACUAGCACACUGCUGUACUCACCGAGAUACACUCUGAUAGUAUUGAGUACAGAAAAAGACAAACCUAAAAUAGGGAAGAGGGGAAAAUAUGGUUUAGCAUAAAGCGCAAGGGAUCAAAGCAACACAGUCUCACUCUCUACUCGUCAAAUGUCUGACGCAUGGUCAAGUGAUCUGGCGUCACUUUUUUGACGCACUGGGUAUACCUUUGGCGUUAUUUUUCAACGUGCAGGUUAGUCCGAUAGACUUCUAUAGAACUCAGUAGCGUUUAUAUUUGACGUCUUGGUUCAGCACACCGCAACUACACUGAAUAAAUAAAAAUAAAUAAUAGGCUACAAAAAUAUAUAUAUAUAUAUGACAGAGAUCGUUUUUAUCUGGCCCUCCAACUUGUUUUUGAGGUUUAAAUAUUCUCGCAAUCUGAUAUUAGAGUGAUCUCUGUGCCAAAGCUUAGCGCGUUCAUCAGUGGUGAGUUUAACAACACUCAACUGCAGGUAAAACAGCACUCAGCGGUGAGUUUGACCAAAGCAACACUCAACUGCAGGGAAAACGGCAUAAAAAGUUCAUCAUCUCUAUGAAAUCACGUUCAAGAAGUCUCAUUCAGCACACAUCGCGAUACUUGCCAUCAGUUUCCAUGUGCCACAGGGUCGCUGAAAAGAUGUAAAGGAAGCAGUCAUCCCUGUGGUUUUGUGGAGAGGUUUUCCUUCAGAAAUGGAGAAGACUGAAAGCUGAGGAGGCAGACAUUUGCAGCAGAUUGUUCGCAGAUAAUGAUGUUCUUCUCGAUCAUGCACAAGGACUCACCUCUUUAACUCUUUAUCUUCCCAACACACACAGAAAUGCUCCCUUUAUCAGUGUUUAGACUUUGCAGUGCAGUUUUGUUUUAGUUCUAAGCUUAUAAUGAAUACAUUGUGACCUUCCAGCAACCCAUAUAUUGUAUACAGAACCAGUGAUCAAAACAAUGGUUGAAAAUAGUAUUUUUAUAUUGAUAAAGCAUUGUGUUCUCUUUUUCAAGCUUCAUACAGUAAACUUUACUUCUGGUGCUUUUAUCAUAAAAAAACAAACAUCAGUUCUCAUCAGGAGUUUUCGUAAAGGACGUAUUCAUGCACAGCCAUCCCCUAGUUCCAGUCAUGAAGUGAAUGAUGUUAUUGUCAGUUUUAUUUCUGCAAUUUUAUGUAGCAGGUGUUUGUUUUCCUGAACGUUAUCUUUCUUCCAUUGUUCGGACAAUCAGUGUUUAUUUGAUGCUGUGCUGAUGGAGGUUUAUAGAUGAUAUUGCACACUUGACAUGCAUGUCUUCAUGGUCUUUAUUUUCUGAGUUUGAAACAGUGUGUUGUAUCACUUUUUGGUCAAAUAAAUUCUUCAGUGUUCUCUGAAA